rnacentral:rRNA from 1 species
GACGAACGCUGGCGGCGUGCUUAACACAUGCAAGUCGAACGAUGAAGCCGGAGCUUGCUCUGGUGAAUUAGUGGCGAACGGGUGAGUAACACGUGAGUAACCUGCCCUUGACUCUGGGAUAACUGCGGGAAACUGUAGCUAAUACCGGAUACGACCCUCGGAGGCAUCUCCUGGGGGUGGAAAGAACUUCGGUCAAGGAUGGACUCGCGGCCUAUCAGCUAGUUGGUGAGGUAAAGGCUCACCAAGGCGACGACGGGUAGCCGGCCUGAGAGGGUGAACGGCCACACGGGGACUGAGACACGGCCCAGACUCCUACGGGAGGCAGCAGUGGGGAAUAUUGCACAAUGGGCGCAAGCCUGAUGCAGCAACGCCGCGUGAGGGAUGACGGCCUUCGGGUUGUAAACCUCUUUUAGCAGGGAAGAAGCGAAAGUGACGGUACCUGCAGAAAAAGCACCGGCUAACUACGUGCCAGCCGCCGCGGUAA